GAUGAACGCUGGCGGCGUGCCUAAUACAUGCAAGUCGAGCGAACGGACGAGAAGCUUGCUUCUCUGAUGUUAGCGGCGGACGGGUGAGUAACACGUGGAUAACCUACCUAUAAGACUGGGAUAACUUCGGGAAACCGGAGCUAAUACCGGAUGAUAUUUUGAACCGCAUGGUUCAAAAGUGAAAGACGGUCUUGCUGUCACUUAUAGAUGGAUCCGCGCUGCAUUAGCUAGUUGGUAAGGUAACGGCUUACCAAGGCAACGAUGCAUAGCCGACCUGAGAGGGUGAUCGGCCACACUGGAACUGAGACACGGUCCAGACUCCUACGGGAGGCAGCAGUAGGGAAUCUUCCGCAAUGGGCGAAAGCCUGACGGAGCAACGCCGCGUGAGUGAUGAAGGUCUUCGGAUCGUAAAACUCUGUUAUUAGGGAAGAACAUAUGUGUAAGUAACUGUGCACAUCUUGACGGUACCUAAUCAGAAAGCCACGGCUAACUACAU
rnacentral:rRNA from 1 species